UUUUUGCGUUAGGGAUUGCAGUGAAAAGCCCACAGCGAAUGUAAUGAGCGAGGACUUGUAACGAAAAGCCCGACGGCGC
rnacentral:misc_RNA from 1 species